rnacentral:rRNA from 1 species
GGGGGCCUAUAAUGCAGUCGAGCGACGGAUAAGGAGCUUGCUCCUUUGAAGUUAGCGGCGGACGGGUGAGUAACACGUGGGUAACCUACCUAUAAGACUGGAAUAACUUCGGGAAACCGGAGCUAAUGCCGGAUAACAUAUAGAACCGCAUGGUUCUAUAGUGAAAGAUGGUUUUGCUAUCACUUAUAGAUGGACCCGCGCCGUAUUAGCUAGUUGGUAAGGUAAUGGCUUACCAAGGCGACGAUACGUAGCCGACCUGAGAGGGUGAUCGGCCACACUGGAACUGAGACACGGUCCAGACUCCUACGGGAGGCAGCAGUAGGGAAUCUUCCGCAAUGGGCGAAAGCCUGACAGAGCAACGCCGCGUGAGUGAUGAAGGUUUUCGGAUCGUAAAACUCUGUUAUUAGGGAAGAACAAAUGCGAAAGUAACUGUGCGCAUCUUGACGGUACCUAAUCAGAAAGCCACGGCUAACUACGUGCCACCAGCCGCGGUAAUACGUAGGUGGCAAGCGUUGUCCGGAAUUAUUGGGMGUAAAGCGCGCGUAGGCGGUUUCUUAAGUCUGAUGUGAAAGCCCACGGCUCACCCGUGGAGGGUCAUUGAAAACUGGGAAACUUGAGUGCAGAAGAGGAAAGUGGAAUUCCAUGUGUAGCGGUGAAAUGCGCAGAGAUAUGGAGGAACACCAGUGGCGAACGCGACUUUCUGGUCUGUAACUGACCCUGAUGUGCGAAAGCGUGGGGAUCAAACAGGAUUAGAUACCCUGGUAGUCCACGCCGUAAACGAUGAGUGCUAAGUGUUGGGGGGUUUCCGCCCCUUUAGCGCUGCAGCUAACGCAUUAAGCACUCCGCCUGGGGAGUACGACCGCAAGGUUGAAACUCGAAGGAAUUUGACGGGGACCCCGCACAAGCGGUGGGGCAUGUGGUUUAAUUUCGAAUCAACCCGAAAAACCUUACCAAAUCCUUGACAUCCUUUUGACAUCUCUUGAAAUAAAGUCCUUCCCCCUUUCGGGGGAAUAAGUGACGGGUGGUGCAGGGGUUGUCCUCAUCUCGUGUCGUGAGAUGUAGGUAUAAUUUCCUAAACGACCGCCACUCGUUGAGCUUUAUUUUGCCAUUUUUUUAGUUCGGUCCCUCUGAGGCUUGACCUGCCAGGUGAUACCCAGCGCGGCACGAACGGCGGAGAGAAAAUGUGACGCGUGCUAC